CCUACGGGAGGCUGCAGUGGGGAAUAUUGCACAAUGGGGGAAACCCUGAUGCAGCGACGCCGCGUGAGUGAAGAAGUAUUUCGGUAUGUAAAGCUCUAUCAGCAGGGAAGAAGCAAGACGGUACCUGACUAAGAAGCCCCGGCUAACUACGUGCCAGCAGCCGCGGGAAUACGUAGGGGGCAAGCGUUAUCCGGAUUUACUGGGUGGAAAGGGAGCGUAGACGGUAUGGCAAGUCUGAAGUGAAAGCCCAGGGCUUAACCCUGGGAAUGCUUUGGAAACUGUUAGACUAGAGUGCUGGAGAGGUAAGUGGAAUUCCUAGUGUAGCGGUGAAAUGCGUAGAUAUUAGGAGGAACACCAGUGGCGAAGGCGGCUUACUGGACAGUAACUGACGUUGAGGCUCGAAAGCGUGGGGAGCAAACAGGAUUAGAUACCCUUGUAGUC
rnacentral:rRNA from 1 species